GUCGAUUAAGUCGGAUGUGAAAANCCAGGGCUCAACCCUGGACCUGCAUUNGAAACUGAUCGACUUGAGUCCAGAAGAGGCAAGUGGAAUUCCCGGUGUAGCGGUGAAAUGCGCAGAUAUCGGGAAGAACACCAGUGGCGAAGGCGGCUUGCUGGGAUGUGACUGACGCUGAGGAGCGAAAGCUAGGGGAGCAAACAGGAUUAGAUACCCUGGUAGUCCUAGCCGUAAACGAUGGACACUAGGUGUGGGGGGCCGUUGACGCCGCCCGUGCCGCAGCUAACGCAUUAAGUGUCCCGCCUGGGGAGUACGGCCGCAAGGCUAAAACUCAAAGGAAUUGACGGGGGCCCGCACAAGCGGUGGAGCAUGUGGCUUAAUUCGACGCAACGCGAAAAACCUUACCAGGGCUUGACAUGUUAGCGAAAGUUUAUGGAAACAUAGACCCCUCUUCGGAGCGCUAUCACAGGUGGUGCAUGGUUGUCGUCAGCUCGUGCCGUGAGGUGUUGGGUUAAGUCCCGCAACGAGCGCAACCCUUGUUCUGUGUUGCCAGCAUUUAGUUGGGAACUCACAGGAGACUGCCGGUGUCAAACCGGAGGAAGGUGGGGAUGACGUCAAAUCAUCAUGCCCUUUAUGCCCUGGGCUGCACGCGUGCUACAAUGGCCGGUACAAUGGGUUGCGAGCCCGCGAGGGUAAGCGAAUCCCUAAAAGCCGUCCUAAGUUCGGAUUGAAGGCUGCAACUCGCCUUCAUGAAGUCGGAAUCGCUAGUAAUCGCAGAUCAGCACGCUGCGGUGAAUACGUUCCCGGGCCUUGUACACACCGCCCGUCACACCACGAAAGUCGGUAACACCCGAAGCCGGUGAGCUAACCCUUUUGGG
rnacentral:rRNA from 1 species